GUCUUAUUGAUUAAAAAUAAUAAGUUUAUUCUGCCCUUUGAAAUAAAUUUUUAAAAGGCUGCAGUAUAUUAACUGUACAAAGGUAGCAAAAUCAAUAGUUUUUUAAUUGAAAACUUGAAUGAAAGAAUUAAUAAAAUAUAAUCUGUCUUAAAUUUAAUUUAUUUAAUUUAAAUAAGAAGUUAAAAUGCUUUUAUUAAUUUAUUAGACGAUAAGACCCUAAGAAUUUAAUAAAAUUAAUUUAUUAUUAAAUUUUAUAAUUAUAUUAAUAAUAAAAUUAAUUUUUUUUUAUUGGGAGGGUAAUUAAAUUUAAUGAACUUUAAUUAUUAAAUAACAUUGAUGAAUGAUUAUUUAAGAUAAUAUUAAUAAUUAAAAGAAUAAAUUACCUUAGGGAUAACAGCGUAAUAAUUUUGGAGAGUUCAUAUUAAUAAAAUUGAUUGCGACCUCGAUGUUGAAUUAAAAUAAAAAUUAAGUGAAGAAGCUUAAAAUUUUAGUCUGUUCGACUAUUAAAAUUUUACA
rnacentral:rRNA from 1 species